rnacentral:rRNA from 1 species
UACGUAGGGUGCAAGCGUUGUUCGGAAUCACUGGGCGUAAAGCGCGCGCAGGCGGUUACUUAAGUCUUAUGUAUAAGCCCGGGGCUCAACCUCGGGACGCAUGGGAAACUGGGUGACUUGAGUGCAGAAGAGGAGAGUGGAAUUCCACGUGUAGCAGUGAAAUGCGUAGAGAUGUGGAGGAAUACCAAUGGCGAAGGCAGCCUCCUGGCCUAAUACUGACGCUCAUGCACGAAAGCGUGGGGAGCAAACAGG